UUAUCCAUUUUUCUACAUUCC
rnacentral:piRNA from 1 species